UUAAGCGUGCCGCCUGGGAAGUACGGUCGCAAGACUAAAACUCAAAGAAAUUGACGGGGACCCGCACAAGCGGUGGAGUAUGUGGCUUAAUUCGAUGCAACGCGAAGAACCUUACCUGGGCUUGACAUGCAUCUCUAAGCGCGUGAAAGCGCGUGACCCUUCGGGGGAUUUGCACAGGUGCUGCAUGGCCGUCGUCAGCUCGUGUCGUGAGAUGUUGGGUUAAGUCCCGCAACGAGCGCAACCCUUGUGAACAGUUGCCAGCGCGUCAUGGCGGGAACUCUGUUCAGACUGCCCAGAUCAACUGGGAGGAAGGUGGGGACGACGUCAGGUCAGUAUGGCCCUUACGCCCAGGGCUGCACACGUACUACAAUGCCCGGCACAAUGAGUACCGAAACCGCGAGGUGGAGGAAAUCUGGAAAACCGGGCCCAGUUCGGAUUGGAGGCUGCAACCCGCCUCCAUGAAGUUGGAAUCGCUAGUAAUGGCGCAUCAGCUACGGCGCCGUGAAUACGUUCCCGGGUCUUGUACACACCGCCCGUCACAUCAUGGAAGCCGGUCGCACCCGAAGCGCAUGUGCCAACCGCAAGGAGGCAGUGUUCUAAGGUGUAGCUGGUAACUGGGAUGAAGUCGUAACAAGGUAACCGUA
rnacentral:rRNA from 1 species